UCUUUAACAGUGGUGAGAGCAGGAACAUUCUGCAUAUUUUGUAACCCGCUACCGUAUUUAGAACAAACAGUGGAAAUUUCCAUCCAGAGUUGUUAAAGCCGGUACAGAGACUCCCCAUGCUCUGUACAGAUUCUCCAGAGGAACUUUCUCAGAAGUACAACUACUCUUAUGUCUAUAUUGUGAUAACUGGAUUCCAUUGUGUGAGGUUGCUUGGUAAAGAUCUGUGGAGCGUUAAGCUACGAGGAACACGCUGUCAUAAAAAGAACAAUCUUCAAAAGUGAGUGGCAAAUCAAAGAAUUAAC